rnacentral:rRNA from 1 species
GGUGGGGAGCAAACAGGAUUAGAUACCUGGUAGUCCACGCUGUAAACGAUGUCGAUUUGGAGUUUGUUGCCUAGAGUGAUGGGCUCCGAAGCUAACGCGAUAAAUCGACCGCCUGGGGAGUACGGCCGCAAGGUUAAAACUCAAAUGAAUUGACGGGGGCCCGCACAAGCGGUGGAGCAUGUGGUUUAAUUCGAUGCAACGCGAAGAACCUUACCUGGUCUUGACAUCCAUAGAAUUCUGCAGAGAUGUGGGAGUGCCUUCGGGAACUAUGAGACAGGUGCUGCAUGGCUGUCGUCAGCUCGUGUUGUGAAAUGUUGGGUUAAGUCCCGCAACGAGCGCAACCCUUAUUCUUUGUUGCCAGCGAUUUGGUCGGGAACUCAAAGGAGACUGCCGUUGAUAAAGCGGAGGAAGGUGGGGACGACGUCAAGUCAUCAUGGCCCUUACGACCAGGGCUACACACGUGCUACAAUGGCGUAUACAAAGGGAAGCGAAGGUGCGAGCUGGAGCGGAUCUCAUAAAGUACGUCUAAGUUCGGAUUGGAGUCUGCAACUCGACUCCAUGAAGUCGGAAUCGCUAGUAAUCGUAGAUCAGAAUGCUACGGUGAAUACGUUCCCGGGCCUUGUACACACCGCCCGUCACACCAUGGGAGUGGGUUGCACCAGAAGUAGAUAGCUUAACCGCGAGGGGGGCGUUUACCACGGUGUGAUUCAUGACUGGGGUGAAGUCGUAACAAGGUAACCA